rnacentral:rRNA from 1 species
AUUGAACGCUGGCGGCAUGCUUUACACAUGCAAGUCGAACGGCAGCGCGGGCUUCGGCCUGGCGGCGAGUGGCGAACGGGUGAGUAAUACAUCGGAACGUGCCCAGUAGUGGGGGAUAGCUCGGCGAAAGCCGGAUUAAUACCGCAUACGACCUGAGGGUGAAAGCGGGGGAUCUUCGGACCUCGCGCUAUUGGAGCGGCCGAUGGCAGAUUAGCUAGUUAGUGGGGUAAAGGCCUACCAAGGCGACGAUCUGUAGCUGGUCUGAGAGGACGACCAGCCACACUGGGACUGAGACACGGCCCAGACUCCUACGGGAGGCAGCAGUGGGGAAUUUUGGACAAUGGGCGAAAGCCUGAUCCAGCAAUGCCGCGUGUGUGAUGAAGGCCUUCGGGUUGUAAAGCACUUUUGGCGGGAACGAAAAGGACUGUGCCAAUACCACGGUUCGAUGACGGUACCCGCAGAAUAAGCACCGGCUAACUACGUG